CUAAACACAUAAUCAAAUCUUCAAUGUCAUUACAAGCAAAAAAAAAGAAAUCAUAUUCUAUGUAAAAUCUUUCAUUUCAAAUUGGAUUUGUAAAAUUCUUUAUUAAAGUAUUAUAUUCUUUUUCAACAUAUGUAUCAUAAAAUGAUUAGCUGCAUUCUAGUUAUUAUCAUGAUGGUUCAGAUAAUGGGUUUCCCUUUACCCAUAACAAGGAUUGAGAGCAAAUGCAUACGGAGUUCGCCACUCGAAAUGGAUGAAUGUAUAACAACAAGAGCAACAACAACAACAACAGUGCCGACGAUAACAACAACAAAAAGUCCUCUUUACUUUAUACAUCUCCUACCAGAUGGUAGAGAAUUAAAAAUUAUCUAUCAUGUGAGCCAAUUUGGAUUCUAUCCUGAAGCCGUUGAUUGAAUUCAAAUGAAAUUGAAAGUCAUUUAUUUUGCAUAAAAUUUAAUAUUAAUGGAAAGCAUUGGAUACACAUCAUUUCGUUGGCCGCAUCUUCCUAUCGUACUCUCGUAAUUUAAAUACUUGUUGUAUUUAGAAUAAAAAUGAGAGGGGAAAAAAAACCAACAAAAUAAUCGAAUAGUUAAA